rnacentral:rRNA from 1 species
CCUACGGGAGGCAGCAGUGGGGAAUAUUGCACAAUGGGGGAAACCCUGAUCCAGCGACGCCGCGUGAGUGAAGAAGUAUUUCGGUACGUAAAGCUCUAUCAGCAGGGAAGAAAAUGACGGUACCUGACUAAGAAGCACCGGCUAAAUACGUGCCAGCAGCCGCGGUAAUACGUAGGGUGCAAGCGUUAUCCGGAUUUACUGGGUGGAAAGGGAGCGUAGACGGCAGCGCAAGUCUGAGGUGAAAUGACGGGGCCCAACCACGGAACUGCGCUGGAAACUGUGAAUCUGGAGUGUAGGAGAGGUAAGCGGAAGUCUUGGUGUAGCGGUGAAAUGCGUAGAGAUCAGGAGGAACACCGGCGGCGAAGGCGGCUUACUGGACCGUAACUGACGUUGAGGCUCGAAGGCGUGGGGAGCAAACAGGAUUAGAUACCCCGGUAGUC